GAUGAACGCUGGCGGCGUGCCUAAUACAUGCAAGUCGAGCGAACGGACGAGAAGCUUGCUUCUCUGAUGUUAGCGGCGGACGGGUGAGUAACACGUGGAUAACCUACCUAUAAGACUGGGAUAACUUCGGGAAACCGGAGCUAAUACCGGAUGAUAUUUUGAACCGCAUGGUUCAAAAGUGAAAGACGGUCUUGCUGUCACUUAUAGAUGGAUCCGCGCUGCAUUAGCUAGUUGGUAAGGUAACGGCUUACCAAGGCAACGAUGCAUAGCCGACCUGAGAGGGUGAUCGGCCACACUGGAACUGAGACACGGUCCAGACUCCUACGGGAGGCAGCAGUAGGGAAUCUUCCGCAAUGGGCGAAAGCCUGACGGAGCAACGCCGCGUGAGUGAUGAAGGUCUUCGGAUCGUAAAACUCUGUUAUUAGGGAAGAACAUAAGUGUAAGUAACUGUGCACAUCUUGACGGUACCUAAUCAGAAAGCCACGGCUAACUACGUG
rnacentral:rRNA from 1 species